rnacentral:lncRNA from 1 species
ACCGGUGAAGGGUGGCUGCGCUCAGCUGUGCCCUCCAGAGCUGGAGACGCAGGGCAGCUGCCAGGUCCCAUGGUUAUGGCCUGGGAGGGGCAACUCCUCCCGGGAGGACAGUCAGACUUCCCAGGAACCUCCCCUCCUGCCCGGCCCCCCUUGCCGCCCCCUCCUUGUGAGGCUGGGGGGCUGCAGGAGCUGGCUGGCCAAGGCUGAGCUGACAGGUCGGGCCCCUGGUUCUGCUCAGAGGCUCCCUGGGGGCCAGUGGCAGGAGGCUGGAGGGUGGAGCUGCAGUGACAACUGCUCCCUGUUCCCUGGGGACUCUGCAGGGGAGGGGUGGGCAAGGAGCCAUGCUGGGGGGAUCCUGGCACUGCCUAGACCUGGACGUGCAGUGUGGCCUGGGGACCUGCCCCAGGGAGCCUUGAAGUGCUCAGAAGGGCUGGGAGCAGAGGUCAAGGAAGGGCCACCAGGCUUUGAGCAGGGACAGGUGGAUUCCUUAAGCACCCAGCCCAGGGACUCACUUGGACACUACCCGCUUCCAAAAUGCUUAGAACCGCCCUCCUCCACCAUCUCCUUCCUCCUCCUUUUUUUUCCACUCCUCUCCCUGCUGGGGUUUGAAAGAUUUCUUGAUCAAUCCUGCCUCUUCCUUUUCUCUCCUCUCCCCCGGUCCUGCCUUCUUCUCUCCCAUCACUCCCUCCCUGACUUUUAUGGUUCUUUCCCCUCAGAGAUCACACUGGACAGAUGGACAGCGCAGGCAGAGGGGAUGGGGUGGUUUGCCAGGCUGCGCUGUUCCCACUUCCCAAGUCUCCGGGCCUGGAGAGGACAGCUUGGCCCUCAAGACGGCCAAGCCUCCCAUGCCCAGGCCACCUGCCUCUCUUGGCUGGCGUCCUGGUGCGGGUGGUGAGGAUGGACACGGGAAGGGACAGGAGGACAUGGCAACGACAAGACACACUGGUGGUCAGGGAACUGGGAGCAUCUGAGCAGGAACGGGGCUGUGAUGGGGACUUGUCAGUGUGACCAGGCGGCUCCCUGAGUUCAUCUACUUAUGGAAGGAAAUUUGUGGAACUCAUAGACAGGCCCGGGGGGCAGCAAUCACCCUUCCACCCUCUCCCACUGGACCCCACUGCUGCAUGGGGCCCAGGGAAGCAAGACCAUCCAGGAAUCAAACUACCCUCAGC